rnacentral:rRNA from 1 species
GAUGAACGCUGGCGGCGUGCCUAAUGCAUGCAAGUCGAGCGAACAGACGAGGAGCUUGCUCCUCUGACGUUAGCGGCGGACGGGUGAGUAACACGUGGAUAACCUACCUAUAAGACUGGGAUAACUUCGGGAAACCGGAGCUAAUACCGGAUAAUAUAUUGAACCGCAUGGUUCAAUAGUGAAAGACGGUUUUGCUGUCACUUAUAGAUGGAUCCGCGCCGCAUUAGCUAGUUGGUAAGGUAACGGCUACCAAGGCAACGAUGCGUAGCCGACCUGAGAGGGUGAUCGGCCACACUGGAACUGAGACACGGUCCAGACUCCUACGGGAGGCAGCAGUAGGGAAUCUUCCGCAAUGGGCGAAAGCCUGACGGAGCAACGCCGCGUGAGUGAUGAAGGUUUUCGGAUCGUAAAACUCUGUUAUUAGGGAAGAACAAAUGUGUAAGUAACUAUGCACGUCUUGACGGUACCUAAUCAGAAAGCCACGGCUAACUACGUG